rnacentral:rRNA from 1 species
CACGUAGGCGGUUACCUAAGUCAUUUGUGAAAUCCCGGGGCUCAACUCCGGGCCUGCAAGUGAUACUGGGUAGCUGGAGCUCGGUAGAGGCAAGUGGAAUUCCCGGUGUAGCGGUGGAAUGCGUAGAUAUCGGGAAGAACACCAGUGGCGAAGGCGACUCGCUGGGCCGUAGCUGACGCUGAGGUGCGAAAGCGUGGGGAGCAAACA